rnacentral:ncRNA from 1 species
GAGAGGGAAACAGCCCGGAUCACCAGCUAAGGCCCCUAAAUGACCGCUCAGUGAUAAAGGAGGUGGGGGUGCAAAGACAGCCAGGAGGUUUGCCUAGAAGCAGCCACACUUUAAAGAGUGCGUAAUAGCUCACUGAUCGAGCGCCCUUGCGCUGAAGAUGAACGGGGCUAAGCGAUCUGCCGAAGCUGUGGGAUGUCAAAAUGCAUCGGUAGGGGAGCGUUCCGCCUUAGAGGGAAGCAACCGCGAAAGCGGGGGUCGACGAAGCG